rnacentral:rRNA from 1 species
AACGAACGCUGGCGGCAGGCUUAACACAUGCAAGUCGAGCGCGUAGCAAUACGAGCGGCAGACGGGUGAGUAACGCGUGGGAACGUACCCUUUUCUACGGAAUAACCCAGGGAAACUUGGACUAAUACCGUAUACGCCCUUCGGGGGAAAGAUUUAUCGGAGAAGGAUCGCCCCGCGUUGGAUUAGCUAGUUGGUGGGGUAAAGGCCUACCAAGGCGACGAUGCAUAGCUGGUCUGAGAGGAUGAACAGCCACAUUGGGACAGGGACACGGCCCAAACUCCUACGGGAGGCAGCAGUGGGGAAUAUUGGACAAUGGGCGCAAGCCUGAUCCGGCCAUGCCGCGUGAGUGAUGAAGGCCUUAGGGUUGUAAAGCUCUUUCACCGGGGAAGAUAAUGACGGUACCCGGAGAAGAAGCCCCGGCUAACUUCGUGCCAGCCGCCGCGGUAA